rnacentral:lncRNA from 1 species
GCAGUUAUCACCCUGCCCUGUUAUUAUGUGUGUGGUGUAACAUCACCCAUAGCAUAUUUAAUCUUAGGAUUCUAAUAACCCCUCUUAUUAUUAAAACAAAAAUAAUUUAGAAAAUCAAAUUUCCUUCCUGAAGGGCGUUUGUGUUUCAUUUGCCUGUUUGUGGGUGGCCACAGACAUGGGGUGGUGAAAGAGCUGGAUGGGACAUCUUCCCUCUUCUCAGGAGGAGCUUACAAACAUAUACCUGGAUAGGUGCAAUCCAAGGGAAGAGGGAAGUAUCUACAGGGUGUCUGGUGUUUUACACGUUAUUUCAUUUUUGGGGAGGUCAUCCAGUUCUAUGGUGAGUAGAUCAUUUAUGCCAAUGAGCCCCAAGUUCAUGCCCUCAGCCCUGGCUUCACCUGAGCUCCAGACUCACCAUUUGACUCUCACUGACAUCACCACUGGGGUGCCUCACAGGUGCUCCAGAUCUGGCAGGGCGUCAAUGAGUUCUUGCUUCUUCCCUUACACCUGUUCCUCCCGCAGCCUUCCUCAUCUCACUAAAUGGCAACUCCAUGGAGCCUAUCCUUGCAUCUCUGCAAAAUGCACACAUCCCGAAAAAGUCGGCAGAUGGGAAAGGGAGGUAGGCAGAUAGCUGUGAAAGGUGCAUGGCCUCUGGCUUUUGGAAGGAUGACCAGAAGGGAUGGCUGGAAGCCCAAAGAACUGUGAAACUGAUGGGGGAAAGUCAAUGGGUUUCAUCAGUGAAUCCAAGGAUGGGAUGGCUAGGAUUUGGAAGUGUAAAAAGAUACAUGUCAGGAUGAAACCAAAGGAAGCUACCAGGCCCACUGUGUAUUUCCACAUGGAGUGCCGCUGCCCACCCUUCCCAGCUGUCUGCUGGAGGUAUCCUGUGCCUUUCAUCCAAAUCCUACUUUUUCUCUGCAUCC